rnacentral:rRNA from 1 species
ACGAACGCUGGCGGCAUGCCUCACACCUGCAAGUCGCACGCGACCUUCGGGUCUAGUGGCGCACGGGUGCGUAACGCGUGGGAACCUGCCCUUAGGUUCGGAAUAACUCCCCGAAAGGGGUGCUAAUACCGGAUAAUGUCUUCGGACCAAAGAUUUAUCGCCUUUGGAUGGGCCCGCGUUGGAUUAGCUAGUUGGUAGGGUAAAAGCCUACCAAGGCGACGAUCCAUAGCUGGUCUGAGAGGAUGAUCAGCCACACUGGGACUGAGACACGGCCCAGACUCCUACGGGAGGCAGCAGUGGGGAAUAUUGGACAAUGGGCGAAAGCCUGAUCCAGCAAUGCCGCGUGAGUGAUGAAGGCCUUAGGGUUGUAAAGCUCUUUUACCCGGGAUGAUAAUGACAGUACCGGGAGAAUAAGCUCCGGCUAACUCCGUG